GGGAAAUGAGAGAUGGAGAAGAGGAAGAUGACAAAGGAAAAAGCUGAUUAAGCAUAGAAUAGCUUUUUCCUAACACAUUCUUUUUAAGCGUAAGGACGGUUGAAGAGAAGAGCUGAAAAUUGUUCUGUCAUCUCUUUUCCUGGAAAUAACAGAGCGUGAUAGAACUCACCAAUUGGCAUGAAGGGUUGUGAGGCAGGGCUCGGCCGGGACAUGCCAAUAGAAUUCACAGCAUAAAUCCGCAUCUCAUAAACUACUCCUUCAAUCAUUCGCUUGGCUUCGUAGGUUAGCUCUUUUAAAAGGUCAAAAUUCAGCCUCAUCCAUCGAUAGCUCUUCUUCUUCUUUCUCUCUAAAAUAUAGCCGAGUACUGGUUGCCCACCAUCAUAUGUAGGAGGUUGCCACUGCACAGUGCAGUAAUCUUCUCCAAUGUUACUGAUCUUGGGAGCUUCUGGAGGGUCAGGAACAUCAAUAACUUUGACUGUGAUAUCAGCCUUAUCUUCUCCAACUGGAUUCUUAACUAUAACUCUGUAUACUCC
rnacentral:lncRNA from 1 species